CCCUGGGAGCUCAGUUGGUAAGGCGCUCCACCUGUAAUGGAGAGGUCCCGGGUUCAAUACCCGGACCAGGCG
rnacentral:tRNA from 1 species